GUCCGUGUAGCUCAGUUGGUAGGGUGUCGAUCUAGUAAUUCGAAGGUCGCGGGUUCAAGACCCAGCCGCGGUCU
rnacentral:tRNA from 1 species